rnacentral:rRNA from 1 species
GUCCACACCGUAAACGUUGGGCGCUAGGUGUGGGGCCUAUUCCAUGGGUUCCGUGCCGCAGCUAACGCAUUAAGCGCCCCGCCUGGGGAGUACGGCCGCAAGGCUAAAACUCAAAGGAAUUGACGGGGGCCCGCACAAGCGGCGGAGCAUGCGGAUUAAUUCGAUGCAACGCGAAGAACCUUACCUGGGUUUGACAUAUGCCGGAAAGCCGUAGAGAUACGGCCCCUUUUGUCGGUAUACAGGUGGUGCAUGGCUGUCGU